UACGGAGGGAGCAAGCGUUACUCGGAAUUAUUGGGCGUAAAGGGCGCGUAGGCGAUUUGGCAAGUCUUGUGUGAAAGCCCACAGCCUAACUGUGGAAGUGCACAAGAUACUGCUGAAUUUGAGUUCAGGAGAGGAAGGCAGAAUUCCCGGUGUAGCGGUGAAAUGCGUAGAUAUCGGGAGGAAUACCAGUGGCGAAGGCGGCCUUCUGGACUGACACUGACGCUGAGGCGCGAAAGCUAGGGGAGCAAACGGGAUUAGAUACCCCGGUAGUCCUAGCCGUAAACGAUGUACACUUGGUGUGAGCCCUUUUUGGGUUCGUGCCGCAGUUAACGCAGUAAGUGUACCGCCUGGGGAGUACGGUCGCAAGGCUGAA
rnacentral:rRNA from 1 species